GUUCCCUUGUCCGUGAGGAAAAGUACUCUUCCAGUACUAUUCUGACCUCGGGUACAGAAUUCAUAAUUUUUGCGUCCAAAUGAUUAUGAAGACUGCGGAAUAAAUGAUAAUCAAAUGGGGGUAAUGUCUGGCGAAUGUGGUGGGUGGGGCAUCAUAUCCCAUUCACACUGUUCCAGAAUGUCACCCUCGCUGUAUGUGGCCCAACGUUUUCCUGAUGGAAGAACACCGUUCGUCUUGAAACCAAAGAUGGUAACUUUUCUUCUACUGAUGACUUUCCACUCAAACUUCUCGCAGCACAUCUUCUUUGUUAUCGAUUGGUUUGGAUUUAAAAGUUCAAAGGAAACCAGACCUUUCAUAUCCCACCAAGCAGAUAACACCUUACGUUGGUGAAAACCUUUUUUUAGCCUGGGGUGCCAGUGUUUCUCCAUUCCCUACCCAUUGACGUCGUGGCGUCACAUUUUUAUAGAGAGCACAUUUCUCGUCACCGGUCACUAUUCGGUCCAAAAUCGUUCAUUCCUGAGACGUGACAGCAAAGUAGAGCACACAUUCACUCUCUGUGCAAGAUUAGACUUGGAAAUUUUGUGAGGAACCCAUACACCCAAUUUGCUGACUUUUCCUAUGACACGCAGUUACCGAUAAAUGAUUGAAUGACCAUAUCCAAGCUUCCCUGCUAGUUCUACAACAGUUACGAUGUAAUUUUGUUCCACCAGUGUUUACAGAACCUCGUCGUCGUGCUCUACAAAUCUUCUAGGACGAGGCUCGUGUUCUAGGCUGUAUUUUCGGGCUCAGAAUUCCUGGAAGCAUCGUUGACACUGGUUUACGCUUAUUGUCCGAUCCACAUACACUGUAUUCCUCGCACUUUCCGUUGCGUUGUUGCCUUUAUUGAACUCAUAAAGCAAAAUAUUCCGAAUAUGCAUGCUCCUUUAUCAUUUCCAUUACAGCUUUGAAAUAAUAUCUGUAAAAAUCGAACUGCACUCUUGAAAAUGUGCACUAAGAAUAAGUUCAAGGUAAAAUUACAACCUGCUUUUAUCGCAUGUCGAUGCAGAUAGAUUAAUCCAUUCUCCUCCGAAUUGAAAAACCGCAGUAUUUAUGGGACGACCCAAUACACACACACACACACACACACACACACACAUAUAGGAGCAGACGUGGUUGUGUGGUAAGAAGGUUGCUUCGAAACCAUGUGGUUUCAGCUUCAGUCGCAUCGCGGUGAGAUAUCAAUUUUCUUUAAAAAUUAUUUUGCAAAGGCGUAGGAGUGGCUGUGUGUUAAGUAGCUUGCUUACCAACCACAUAAUUCCGGGUUCACUCCCACUGCGUGGCACCUUGGGCAAGUGUAUUCUACUAUAGCCUCGGGCCGACCAAAUUCUUGUAAGUCGAUUUUGUAGACGGAAACUGAAUGAAGCCCGUCGUGUAUAUGCAUAUAUAUAUGUGUGUGUGUGUGUGUGUGUGUGUGUGUGUGUGCAUAUUUGUGUGUUUGUGUUUGUCCCCCCCCCCCAACAUCGCUUGACAACCGAUGCUGGUGUGUUUACGUGCCCGUAACUUAGCGGUUCGGCCAAAGAGACCGAUAGAAUAAGUACUUGGCUUACAAAGAAUAAAUCCUGGGGUCGAUUUGCUCGACUAAAGGCGCUGUUCCAGCGUGGCCACAGUCAAAUAGCUGAAACAAGUAAAGGAGUAAAAUAUUCAGAGAAAAAGUAUUUUUUCACUACAUACACACAGGUGUCUCUGUAGUGUGUCUUGAAACACACCCUUUCAUAAAAUAAUAAAAAAAGGAUACAAAUUUAGAGUAUUUCAGGGACAAAAUCUAUACGAUAUGUCUGCUACAUCAGAGGCAACUCUACGCUAAACAAAACACAGUCAGACAUACUUCACAUUAAAAGAUUAUCUACUAAAUAACGAUAAUAAAGUUGACAAAUGCUGUAUUAAGUUAAUGCUUAAAUAAAUAGGACAGUUCUCUGACACAUCGGACGCAAGUCCUUCAUCAGAAAAGAUAAAUGAAUGAGAAAAGGUGGCUAAAAAUUUAUUUUAAAGUGUUUAAGGGUAAGUUGAAUAUGCCAAAACAUUUCUUUGUGGUACUCACUUCACACUUCUUGCACUCUUGUAUCAUUUAAAAGAACACAAAGGACUGCAAAAACUUUAAUUCCGUCUCUUAGAAAUUUAGGCCACGACCAUCGUACUUUCCCAAUUCUAUCCAAUUUCAGUUUACGUAGUCUGUGCAAGAUGAUGAACUUUGUUGAGAUCCUACGCAAAAUAGCACAACCCUAUCAUUAAGCAAUCAAAAUGCUCUCAAGUUUAGGCAAAACAGCUUCAAAAGCAGAUGGUACUCCUGAUGAGAGCCAGCUAGUAUGUUAUUACACUCUAAGAACUUGUGCCUUUAUCUCUUGGUGAUCACUUCUAUGACUGAAGUAUUAUGUCCAAUCAGACAGGACUGUAAUAUUCGGUCAUCUGUUCUGCAUUCUAACUUAUGGCUUGAUCAUGGUAUGCUAUUUCGUUUUUGGAUUUGGUUUGUAAGAUUCUUUAUAUGAGUUCGUGUUUUGAAGCAUAUUCUGUUGUGUCUGGGGAGAGUCAUUUUCUUUUUGUACCUUAUAAUGUAACACAAUCAUCGGUAAAAUUUCCACUUAUUUUUAUUUUUAUUUUCCUAUAAGAAAUAAGUGGAAACUUUACCGGUGAGUGUGUUACAUUAUAAGGCACAAAAAGAAAAUUACUCUCCCCAGACACACCAGAAUGGUAUGCUAUGCUUUUUAUACUAAGAGGUUUUGAAGCUUUUGAUUUGGAAUAUAACUAAUGUGGCUUUGUUGGAGUAGUUUUGUCUAAAUUGUUUUACACACGCACAAAGACACAAACACACACACACACACACACGUAAUAUUUCUUUGUAUGUACAGAACACACAACAGCAUUACCCAAGGUCAGAUAAACAAUCUUGUUGAUUCGGAUACUUCCUUGUAAGUACAAGGCUUUCGCGGUUUUUCUAUAUCAAGCUAAUUAUCACUGGAUGAUGUCUAACAUAGUUUGGUUCUUGUGAGCACAUGACAGGAUCACUAAUUGCCAAGCACUAGUCGUUGCCUGGAUCGACUACUUCAGGGAGGGCAUUUUCAAAAUAUUGCGCAAAGAUAGGAGAUUCCUUAUUUUAAGAAUGUCACUAAAAAUGUUUAAAAAUAGUGGUAUUGUUAUGUCGCACGUUCGGAUGACCGCUACUCCAGACGUCUAGGCUUCUCCCUCUAUGUGUACGUAUUGGGCUAGCCUACUUUACCGUUUGGGGGCGUCCACACAACAGGUGUUUAGCUUCAUACAACUCUCAGUAGAAGUUUUUGGAACUUUUGAACAAAUGACAUGCGAUUAUAUUUGUAAGCAGGGAAAAAACAAUUCAGACACAAUUUAAAAGGUCAAAAUUGAGCUUUUAAUAUUUAUUGAUUGAAAAUUAUGAAGUAGUAUUAGUAGGUAAUGGUUUGAACUUAUCUAGAAGAGAGCAUUGCAUCUGAAGGACGAUGAUAGAUAUAUUAUCUUAUUAAAUUAUUCUAGUGACCGUUGCAAUAUAUGGGAUUUCUCGGAGAGACAAAAUCGACAGCAACUUCCAUAAACAUUUCGACACAUCUAUGAAACUUAAAAGGCGGCAGCUGGCAGAAACGUUAGCGCGCCGGGCGAAAUGCUUAACGGUAUUUCGUCUGCCAUUACGUUCUGAGUUCAAAUUCCGCCGAGGUCGACUUUGCCUUUCAUCCUUUCGGGGUCGAUAGAUUAAGUACUAGUUACGCACUGGAGUCGAUAUAAUCGAUUUAAUCCGUUUGUCUGUCUUUGUUUGUCCCCUCUAUGUUUAGCUCCUUGAGGGCAAUAAGGAAAUAAGAAGUUUGCUUCCCAACAAUAUGGUUCCGGGUUCAGUCCCACUGUGUUGCACCUUGUGCACUGUCUCUCACACACACACAUGGUUUCGAGUUGAGUCUCACUGCGCAGCAUAUUAGGCAAGUGCCUUCUACAAUACCAUUGGGCCGACCAGUGCCUUGUGAAUGAAUUUGGCCCACGAAAACUAUGAAAGCAUGUCGUACGUAUAUGUAUAUGUAUAUGUUUGUAAAAAUGUUUGUGUGUUUUCCCUUUCACCACUUGACAAGUUUUGGUUUGUUUACGUCCAACUCGUUUGGCAGUCGCGACAAAAGAGCCAGACACAAUAAGAAUCAGAUUUAAGCAUUAAAUAUUGAGGUCAAUUUGGUCGACUAAACAACUUAAGACACUGCUCCAGCCGGUCGUAUUCCUAUGAAUGGAACAAAGAAAAGAAAGAAAGCGAGAAAAUUCAGUCACAAUACGUAGUCUUUAGAAAAUACUAAUGUCUGAUUGUUUUAGACUCGCAGAUGUGAGAACCAAAUUCAAAAACCCCACGACCAACAAUUCAUUAACAAUAUUUCUUAAAUUUUGUUGUCAACUUACAAAAAACAUAACUCUAUCACGUAACAGAACGAUUUCAUCGUUUACAUUUUUGUGCUGUGGAUAUUUUGUGAUUAUUUAAUACAAAUUACUUUACUAUACGAUGAGUAUAACACAUUCAAAAAGUUGAGCAGACGAGUAUCUUUGUAUAUUUACAUUUGAGCUAAAGAGAGUGUAUUUUGAAAAAAACACAAAAACCAGAUAAAUCGAUUUAACUGGACGGAAGUAUGUCCGUCACUUAAAAUUUACAUGUAGCAAUUAAAGGUUGCUUCGGAAUACAUUAAUAUCAUGUAUAUCUAUCGAUAUUGUAUCUAUAAGUAUAUUUGUGUGUGUGUGGACAUAUGUGUGUAUGUGUGUGUUGGUAUGUAUUCAAAUGAAUGUAAGUGUGUAUAUAUAUAUACGUGAGUGUUUGUGUAAUUCUGUGCGUGUGUACUGUCUAACAUUUAAAUCUAAAAACAUUUUCAAAUAUGAAAAUAAAAUAAACACUCACCAACAUACACACAAAUAUGUAGGUGUGUGUGUGCAUAUGCAUAUAUAUACACAUAUAUAUAUAUAUAUAUAUAUAUGUAUAUAUAUAUGUACAUUAUACAUAAUCACGCAUACAUACAUACAUACAUACAUACAUACAUACAUACAUACAUACAUACAUACAUACAUACACACAUACACACAUACAUACACUCAUUCAUACAUACAUACAUACAUACAUACAUACAUACAUACAUACAUACAUACAUACAUACAUACACUCGGCUAUGAAAUACCUUGUAACUAGCCAAUAAAAAAUUAUUUAUAUGAAAAAACGAGGGGGAAAAUAUAGAUAGAACGUAAUAUACAUAUACAUAAAUGAAUGAAUGAAUGAAUGAAUGAAUGAAUGUGUGUGUGUGUGUGUGUGUGUGUGUGUGUGUGUGUGUGUGUGUGUGUGUGUGUGAGUGUGUGUGUUCACGAAAGAGAGAGAAUUAGGAAGUUUGAGAGAGUAAAAAGAGAGUGGUACAAGCUUGUAAAACAGUGAGGCAGAGAUAGUAAUUGAGUUGGAGAGCGUGGAGCGGUAUUAUGAGAUCGUUAAAGAAAUAUAAGUAUAUAUAUGUAUAUAUAUGUAUAUAUAUGUAUAACUAUAACAAACUAGAAUAUAGAAGAAAAAAAUAUGUUGUUGGCUGUUUUUGAUGGGGAAAAUAUUUAAGAUUUAAUGGAUAAAUAUGCAAAAGGCUGGUAGGGGGACAUUCGCAUAUGACAAAUCGAUAGAUAAUCAGAUUGAUUGAUGUGUGUAUGUAUAUAUAUAUAUAUAUAUAUAUAUCAGCUAAAUAGCUGGUUGUUGAAAAUGAUUGCUGGUAGAUAACUUAGGUACAAUUUAUCUCUGUAAAUUCACUGAUAGACACAUGCAUGUGUAUAUAUAUAUAAAUAUAUUUUUUGCAUGUUUCUGUGUAUGUUUUAUGUAUCUGUGCAUGAUGUAAUUAUUAGUGGGAUGUUUUGCUGUUGCAAGAGUGAAUUACUAAAUGAAACUCUGUGUGUACGUGUGUGUGUGUGUGUGAGUGUGUGUAUGUGUGUUUGUGUGUGCACGUACAUGUGCUUAUGUUGUUUUAAUGCCUGUCGUUCCAUCUCUCAAUUUGUCUAUCUAACUUCUACAUCUUGACGAGUUACAUAGUCAAUGAAGUCGUAUUUGGAGGUUGAACAGCAUAUGUGUAUAUGAAUAUAUACACGCAAACAUACAUAUACACACAUAUAUCUAUGCAUAUGUGUGAGCGUGUGUCUGUGCGUAUAUAUGUUAUAUACAUAUAUGUAUAUAUAAAUAUAUAUAUAUAGGUAAUGUAGAUGCAGAUUAUAUGUAUGCAUAUAUAUAUAUAUAUCGAUUAAUCAUUUUAUAUGAUCGAUCUAUCUAUAUAUAUAUAUCUAUAUGUCCGUUUAUCUUUAUAUCUGUCUACCUAUCUGUCUAUCUAUCUAUGUAUUUAUCUAUCUACCUAACUGUCUUUCCAUUUUUUUCUCCUUUUUCUUUUUCAAUCUUCGAAAAGAAAAGCUCUACAUUUGUAUUUGUCCCCUCUGUGUUCAGCCUUCUGUGGCCAAUAAAGAAAGUUAUCUAUCUACCCACCUAUCUACGUACGUACGUACGUACAUACCUACCUACCUACCUACAUACCUACAUACCUACCUACAUACGUACGUACGUACGUACCUAGCUACCUACGUACGUACGUACGUACCUACCUACCUACCUAUCUCUCUAUCUAUCUAUCUACUUACCUACCUAUCUAACUAUCUAUCUAUCUACCUAUCUAUCUACCUACUUACCUACCUACCUAUCUAUCUAUCUAUCUAUCUAUCUAUCUAUCUAUCUACCUAUAUAUAUAUAUAUAUAUAUAUAUAUAUAUAUAUAUAUAUAUAUAUACCUAUCUAUCUAUCUACCUAUCUACCUAUCUCUCUCUCUUUCUCUAUCUAUCUAUCUAUCUAUCUAUCUAUCUAUCUAUCUAUCUACCUAUCUCAUAAAAAUAGUUACCGUAUGCCUAUAUACUUACAUAAGUGUAUAAACCUAUAUUAACAAAACAGCUGAACAUGACAAACGUACAAGCAAAAUACACACAUACAAUCAUGCGUAUAAUUUGCAAUCUUACAAUAAUACAUAGAUUGUGCGCUUAUGCGUAUGCAUGGGUAUGUAGACGUGUGUAUAUGACACUCUGUGUGUGUGUGUGUGGUGUGUGUGAGUGUGUGUGUGUGGUGUGUGUGAGUGUGUUAAUGGCAGUAUUGCAACUGAUAUGAUAAUUAGAAAGGUAUUAGAGUAGAAGUGGGAAAGUGUAAUAACGUUGAUAUCAACAGUGAUAUGAGAUUAUAGAGAAUGUAGAUUAUACAAAAUGUGGCUAGAUUUGGAAGAGCUAUGAUGGGGUGGAGGGGGAGUCGGAUGAGGUAGAUAGGAACAAAGAACAUGAUUAUCAUACUACUGCUACUGCUGCUGCUGCCGCUGCUGCAGAUGGUGCUGCUGUUGUUGGUUAUACUGAUGAUGUUCUUACGGUUGUUGUUGUUGUAGUUGUUACUGAGGGUGAUGAUGUUGAUGAUAUUGAUGAUGAGGAUGAGGAUGAUGAGAUGAGGAUGAUGAGUGUGAUAACGGAACUGAAAAUGGGAAGAGAAUGGGAAGUUGUUAUUGGGGUGUGUUAUCUAAAAAGAAAAAAAAAUAACAGAAAGGAAACGGGGGGGAUUUGUUGGUAGAGCAGAUAGGCAGGCACACAGAUAUGUUGUUAAUCCUAUACACACGCACACAAACACACACACACACAUACAUACAUAUAUAUAUAUAUAUAUAUAUACACAUAGAUAUAGAGAGAGGGAGAGAGAAAUGCUGAUAGGUUGAUAGAUAGACACAUAGAUUGAUAAGUAGGGAAAAAGAAAUGAUGCAAAAAUUAUUUCAACUGUUACUAUAUCAUUUGUAUCUCAGGGAAAUAGAGGGGGGUUUGACACACACACACACACACACGGACGUCUACGUGUGUUUGUAUAUAUAUAUAUAUAUGUGGGUGUGUCUGUGUGUGAGUGUGUGCAUACGCAUAUCUAUACACAAAUAUACAUAGAUAGAUAAAUACAUACACACACACACAUAUAUUCUUACAUGCUUCCCUUCUCUGAAUCUUUCCUUUUCCUAUGUUUCUGACGAAGAGCUCCGCUCGAAACGUAAAACUCUCCUUCUUCCCUUCCUUCCUGGGCGUCCAAUAAUACUAUAUUUGUUCCACGUCCUCGCGUUGUUUUGUUUUCUCUUGGUGGUUUCAUGUUUGGAUUAACUUUAUAUUCUUACAUACAUACAUAAUACAUAUAUACAUACAUACAUACGUCCAUACAUACACGCAUACAUACUUAGGCAUUGAUGCAGUACCAGGCAGUGGCUCUCAUGGUUGCUGAUCUUAACUGAUUGGAAGUGGUGUUAUCAUGUAAAUUAUUUUGUCUUGGUGCAAAAGAUGGGCUACAGCAAAUAUUCUGCUCAAUACCACAGAUUUGCUUGUCUGUUGUUUGAUCUUAACCAGUCGAUCAUGUCCCUUAGUGGCUGACGAUAUGUGCAUCUCUGAUCAUGAGCAGAAGUAGUGGAGGAGCAUCAUAACCAUGUGUUGAGAGGAAUUCUUUGGGAUUUGAAUACACCUCUGGAAACAUGGGUGUUUUGUUCAUCCUCCUUAAACAACUCUUAUUCAGGGACCUUUUGAUCGGGAUGGGUUACUUGAUUCUGCCAGUACCCCGUCUUAAUAUUAGUAAUAUUCUGAAAAAAAACUACUCAUAUUUUGUGAUUGGGAUUUUUUAGUUCUCCAUUUCAUCAGAAAAUACGAGUUCACAUUGUUUAGGGAAGAGACGAUUGUCUCGAGAAUAUAGCUGUAAGUAAAAUUUCUAAGUUGUUUUUCAUUUGUACAAAAGCCCUGUACGAUGUUUACAUAUUGACUGCUAUCUUUAUAAGUAAAACAACCCUAAUAAUUAGGAGUAGAUUUAUCAUUCAAUACCACAACACAUUCACGUCUCCUAUGCCCACAUGUAUACAAGGAUACAUUCCCACACAUGCACAGCAUCAAUCUUCUUCUUCCUCCCUUCUUCCAUAGAACCUUAUUCAUAUCUGGCCCCUUAUCUUUUUUGCUGCCCUCCUUUCCUUUUCAUUUGGAUGAAAGUCUAACGUCCAAAUCAUUGAGUUUCCUAAUAUAAUGAUGAGUUCUUAAUAUAUAUAUAUAUAGAGAGAGAGAGAUAGAUAGAUAGAUAGAUAGAUAGAUAGAUAGAUAGAUAGAUAGAUAGAUAGAUAGAUAGAUAGAUAGAUAGAUAGAUAGAUAGAUAGAUAGAUAGAUAUCUGUCUAGAAUCACACCGGACGCGGAGGAAGAGAGAAAAUAGUAGUUCAGUGAAGGAAAAGUAGUGAGAGUGAUAGCCCUAACUGAGAGGAAAUGGCCGAAAGUAAUAGCAAUGAAAGAAAGGAAGGGGUGAUGGAUGAAUAAAAAAGGAAGGAGUGAAAAAAAUCAACGUUUCAACUCUGUGUGAGUAUAUGUGUGUAUGUGUGUGCGUGUACAAGGGAAGUAUGUAAAUGUUUGUAUGUGUGAUUAUUAUGAGCCUUAUUUUGUACCUUAUUUAUAUAUAAAAUACUACAAUUUAGCCGUCAUUAUUGACGACACGUGGUCAGCUGGUGAAUCUUAUAAAACAUCAAAUACUAAGAAGUAUAUACGAGUUCCAGAUGAAGAAACAAGUAUUCACGUCUGCUUAUACACACACACACAUAUAUAUACAUACAUAUAUACAUACAUAGACAUUUUUUGUGCUUAUCUGUAUGUAAGUGAGUGUGUAUGUGUGCAUGCGUGUGUACGAUUGUGUUUAGUAACGUGAAGUGAAACGAAUAUUGAAUGAAAAGCAGUUGACAAAGGGAUGUAAGCUUUUGUUGGUACUAAGAAAUGGAAGGUUAUCUCAUGCUUUUUUAUUAACAAUGAAUUUGUUCUUUCCUAUUUGUAGUGUUGUUUGGUAGAACCACUGGUGAUGAAUGUCUGCGCUUUUUUAUAAUGUCUUACAUACAAACACUUACUAAUAUACUUAUAUAUAAAUACAAAUCCUUACAGCAUAAUCAUCAAAAUACACACGUACGUACGUACCUGCAUUCUUCUCCGUGUAUAUUUAUAUGUAUGUAUUGUGUGUAUGUAUUGUAUGUAUGUAUGUACGUAUGUAUGUAUGUACGUAUGUAUGUAUGUGUGUAUGAGUGAGUGUAUGUAUGUGUGUAUGUAUGUAUGUAUGUAUGUAUGUAUGUAUGUAUGUAUGUAUGUGUGUAUGUAUGUAUGUAUGUAUGUAUGUAUGUAUGUAUGUGUGUAUGUAUGUAUGUAUGUAUGUGUGUAUGAAUGUAUGUAUGUAUGUAUGUAUGUAUGUAUGUGUGUAUAUGAGUGAGUGUAUGUAUGUGUGUAUGUAUGUAUGUGUGUAUGAGUGAGUGUAUGUAUAUGUGUAUGUAUGUAUGUAUGUAUGUGUGUAUGUAUGUAUGUAUGUAUGUAUGUAUGUAUGUAUAUGUAUGUAUGUAUGUGUGUAUGAAUGUAUGUAUGUAUGUAUGUAUGUAUGUAUGUGUGUAUAUGAGUGAGUGUAUGUAUGUGUGUAUGUAUGUAUGUAUGUAUGUAUGUAUGUAUGUAUGAGUGUAUGUAUGUAUGUAUGUAUGUAUGUAUGUAUGUAUGUAUGUAUGUAUGUAUGUAUGUAUGUAUGUAUGUAUGUAUGUAUGUAUGUAUGUAUGUAUGUGUGUAUAUGAGUGAGUGUAUGUAUGUGUGUAUGUAUGUAUGUAUGUAUGUGUGUAUGUGUGUCUAUGUAUGUAUGUGUGUCUAUGUAUGUAUGUAUGUGUCUAUGUAUGUGUCUAUGUAUGUAUGUGUGUAUGUAUGUAUGUAUGCAUAAUACACACACGCAAGCAGAGUGGCUGUGUGGUAAGAAGAAUGAUUCCCAACCACAUGUAUUCGAGUUCAGUCCCACUGCGUGGCACCUUGGGCCAGUGUCUUCUACUAUAGCCUCGGUCCGACCAAAGCCUUGUGAGUGAAUUUCUAGACGGAAACUAAAAGAAGCCUGUCGUAUAUAUGAAUAUAUUUGUGUGUGUGUGUGUUUGUGUAUGUAUAUAUGUGUGUCGUUGUGUCUGUUUGUCCCCAACAUCGAUUGACGACCGGUGUUGGUGUGUUUAUGAUCCUGUACUUUAGAGAAAAAUUACCAGGUUUAACAAAAUAUAAUUACUGGGAUCGAUUCAUUCGACUAAAAAUCGUUGAAGUCGGUGUCCCAGCAUGGACAAUGAUUGAAACAAGUAAAAAAUGAAAGAUAAAAAUAUAUGAAGCAGGUUCGACAAGAUAGGAGAAAUCAGCAGAGAUCUAUUAUGGUAUCUUUGCGACUUGGAAUUUGACGAAAAGUAUAUCAAUGAGUCUUAAGGUGCCCUAUGAUAGUAGCUUUGCCAAAAGAAAGGAGCUGUAAGUGACUGUCAUAAUUAAUGAGAAAGAGCUCUGUUGUGUGACCUACGCAGAGUGUUUUGCUGUGAUGUCUUUACAGGCCUGAAUAGCUUUUACGAGUGAAGCAAGAGGAACACGGUUGAAGAAUGUUUUACAAUGAGCAGAUACUCACGUUACGCAACCUCAUGGAAUCGUUUGUAUCUGCGUUGAGUUCAAAGAACAACAAUGGAAGGUAGUCCUGCUAUAUAGAGUACCCUAUGUCAACACCAUAUGACAACACUUUUUCAGACGUCACGUUGCUGCUUUAAAGAUCCGAAAAUCCAAACAUAGGGAGAUUCGAGAUCGUCGCAGAGGUACAUGGGACGUGUACUGGCCCCCUCCGCUAUCUUCGAUUUUUGUUUGUAGUAAAUUCUAUCAUGUGGAAGUCCUUCAAAUGGGAACAGGGUAACACAUACUCCUUGACUUUGCUGGUGAUCUAGGACUCGUUAGUGCCAUAUCUACUUUAAUGCAAAUUCCAGGCCUUGUGCCUAUCGUAGCAAUGAUUAUUAUCAUCAUCAUCAUCAUUAUUAUCAUUAUUAUUAUUUUCAUUAUUAUCAUUAUUAUUAUUAUUAUCAUUAUUAUCAUUAUUAAUAUUAUUAUUAUUAUCAUUAUUAUCAUUAUUAAUAUUAUUAUUAUCAUUAUUAUCAUUAUUAUUAUUAUUAUUAUUAUUAUUAUUAUUAUAAAGUUGUAAGGCGGUGAGUUGGCAGAAUCGUUAGCAGCAUUUCGUCAGUUUUUACGUUCUGAGUUCAAAUUUCGCCAACGUCGACUUUGCUUUUCAUCCUUUCCCGGUCGAUUAAAUGAGUACCAGUUGAACACUGGUGUCCAUGUAAUCGACUCAUCCCCGCUCCCAAAAUUGCUGUCCUUGUGGCAAAAUUAGAAACCAUUUUAUUGAGUUGUGUGUUUGAAUUAGUUGUGCGUCGAAACAAUCAGAAAUAAUAAUAAUAAUAAUAAUAAUAAUAAUGAUCGUCCUUGUUGUGAGUCAAUGCAUUUUUUACCUACACUGUGUUACGAAGGAAUAAUAAUAAUUAAUAUUUCAAAUAUUUGUCACAAGGGCAGCUUGGGGGAGGAGAUUAUGUCGAUUACAUUAACCCCAGUGUUUCACUGGUACCUAUUUUAUUAACUCCGAAAGGAUGAAUGGCAAAUUCCCCCACGGCAGGAUUGACUUU
rnacentral:lncRNA from 1 species